GAUGAACGCUAGCGGCAGGCUUAACACAUGCAAGUCGGGCGGCAGCGGGGUGGGAGCUUGCUCCCACUGCCGGCGAGCGGCGCACGGGUGAGUAACACGUAUGCAACCUGCCCCUGUCAGGGGGACAACCCGCCGAAAGGCGGGCUAAGCCCGCGUAUAUCUCCCCGGGGCAUCCCGGGGGGAGGAAAGGAGCGAUCCGGACAGGGAUGGGCAUGCGGCGCAGUAGCUGGUCGGCGGGGUAACGGCCCACCGAGGCGACGAUGCGUAGGGGUUCUGAGAGGAAGGUCCCCCACACUGGUACUGAGACACGGACCAG
rnacentral:rRNA from 1 species